rnacentral:rRNA from 1 species
CCUACGGGUGGCAGCAGUGGGGAAUAUUGGGCAAUGGGCGCAAGCCUGACCCAGCAACGCCGCGUGAAGGAAGAAGGCUUUCGGGUUGUAAACUUCUUUUGUCAGGGACGAAGCAAGUGACGGUACCUGACGAAUAAGUCACGGCUAACUACGUGCCAGCAGCCGCGGUAAUACGUAGGUGGCAAGCGUUAUCCGGAUUUACUGGGUGUAAAGGGCGUGUAGGCGGGACUGGAAGUCAGAUGUGAAAACCACGGGCUCAACCUGUGGCCUGCAUUUGAAACUGGAGUUCUUGAGUACUGGAGAGGCAGACGGAAUUCCGGGUGUAGCGGUGAAAUGCGUAGAUAUCAGGAGGAACACCGGCGGCGAAGGCGGCCUGCUGGACCGCGACUGACGUUGAGGCUCGAAAGCGUGGGGAGCGAACAGGAUUAGAUACCCCUGUAGUC